AAGCCCGGGCUUGCCCGGGUGGAAAGUGGCGAACGGGUGCGUAACACGUGAGCAACCUGCCCCGAAGACCGGGAUAACAGCGGGAAACCGCUGCUAAUACCGGAUGCCCUCAUCAUGUCGCAUGGCGAGAUGAGGAAAUGGAUUCCGCUUCGGGAUGGGCUCGCGGUCUAUCAGCUUGUUGGUGAGGUAACGGCUCACCAAGGCUACGACGGAUAGCUGGUCUGAGAGGAUGUCCAGCCACACUGGGACUGAGACACGGCCCAGACUCCUACGGGAGGCAGCAGUGGGGAAUCUUGCACAAUGGGCGAAAGCCUGAUGCAGCGACGCCGCGUGCGGGAUGACGGCCUUCGGG
rnacentral:rRNA from 1 species